rnacentral:rRNA from 1 species
GCGAGUGGCGAACGGGUGAGUAACGCGUGAGGAACCUGCCUCAAAGAGGGGGACAACAGUGUGAAACUACUGCUAAUACCGCAUAAGCCCACAGGUCGGCAUCGACCAGGGGGAAAAGGAGCAAUCCGCUUUGAGAUGGCCUCGCGUCCGAUUAGCUAGUUGGUGAGGUAAUGGCCCACCAAGGCAACGAUCGGUAGCCGGACUGAGAGGUUGAACGGCCACAUUGGGACUGAGACACGGCCCAGACUCCUACGGGAGGCAGCAGUGGGGAAUAUUGCACAAUGGGGGAAACCCUGAUGCAGCGACGCCGCGUGGAGGAAGAAGGUCUUCGGAUUGUAAACUCCUGUUGUUGAGGAAGAUAAUGACGGUACUCAACAAGGAAGUGACGGCUAACUACGUGCCAGCAGCCGCGGUAAAACGUAGGUCACAAGCGUUGUCCGGAAUUACUGGGUGUAAAGGGAGCGCAGGCGGGAAGACAAGUUGGAAGUGAAAUCUAUGGGCUCAACCCAUAAACUGCUUUCAAAACUGUUUUUCUUGAGUAGUGCAGAGGUAGGCGGAAUUCCCGGUGUAGCGGUGGAAUGCGUAGAUAUCGGGAGGAACACCAGUGGCGAAGGCGGCCUACUGGGCACCAACUGGCGCUGAGGCUCGAAAGUGUGGGUAGCAAACAGGAUUAGAUACCCUG